UGAACGCUGGCGGCGUGCCUAACACAUGCAAGUCGAGCGAUUCUCUUCGGAGAAGAGCGGCGGACGGGUGAGUAACGCGUGGGUAACCUGCCUCAUACACAUGGAUAACAUACCGAAAGGUAUGCUAAUACAGGAUAACAUAAGAGAUUCACAUGGAUUUCUUAUCAAAGCUCCGGCGGUAUGAGAUGGACCCGCGUCUGAUUAGCUAGUUGGUAAGGUAACGGCUUACCAAGGCGACGAUCAGUAGCCGACCUGAGAGGGUGAUCGGCCACAUUGGAACUGAGACACGGUCCAAACUCCUACGGGAGGCAGCAGUGGGGAAUAUUGCACAAUGGGCGAAAGCCUGAUGCCAGCAACGCCGCGUGAGUGAUGAAGGCCUUCGGGUCGUAAAACUCUGUCCUCAAGGAAGAUAAUGACGGUACUUGAGGAGGAAGCCCCGGCUAACUACGUGCCAGCAGCCGC
rnacentral:rRNA from 1 species